GGUAGACAGUUCAUUCAGUCAGUAAAAUGGUAGACAGUUCAUUCAGUCAGCAAGAUGGUAGACAGUUCAUUCAAGAUGGUAGACAGUUCAUUCAGUCAGUAAGAUGGUAGUCAGUUCAUUCUGUCAGUAAGAUGGUAGGUAGUUCAUUCAGUCAGUAAGAUGGUAGGUAGUUCAUUCAGUCAGUAAGAUGGUAGACAGUUCAUUCAGUCAGUAAGAUGGUAGACAGUUCAUUCAGUCAGUAAGAUGGUAGUCAGUUCAUUCAGUCAGUAAGAUGGUAGUCAGUUCAUUCAGUCAGUAAGAUGGUAGACAGUUCAUUCAUUCAGUAAGAUGGUAGACAGUUCAUUCAGUCAGUAAGAUGGUAGACAGUUCAUUCAGUCAGUAAGAUGGUAGACAGUUCAUUCAGUCAGUAAGAUGGUAGACAGUCAGUAAGAUGGUAGGUAGUUCAUUCAGUCAGUAAGAUGGUAGUCAGUUACUUCAGUCAGUAAGAUGGUAGGUAGUUCAUUCAGUCAGUA
ensembl:lncRNA